AGUGAACGCUGGCGGUAGGCCUAACACAUGCCAGUCGAACGGCAGCACAGUAAGAGCUCGCUCUUACGGGUGGCGAGUGGCGGACGGGUGAGGCAUACAUAGGAAUCUACUUUUUCGUGGGGGAUAACGUAGGGAAACUUACGCUAAUACAGCAUAUGAUCUACGGGUGAAAUCAGGGGAUCUUCGGACCUUUCGCGUUUGUAUGAGCCGAUGUCGGAUUAGCUAGUUGGCGGGGUAAAGGCCCACCAAGGCGACGAUCCGUAGCUGGUCUGAGAGGAUGAUCGGCCACACUGGAACUGAGACACGGUCCAGACUCCUACGGGAGGCAGCAGUGGGGAAUAUUGGACAAUGGGCGCAAGCCUGAUCCAGCCAUGCCGCGUGGGUGAAGAAGGCCUUCGGGUUGUAAAGCCCUUUUGUUGGGAAAGAAAAGCAGCAUAUUAAUACCCCGCUGUUCUGACGGUACCCAAAGAAUAAGCACCGGCUAACUUCGUG
rnacentral:rRNA from 1 species